rnacentral:rRNA from 1 species
GUGGUUACCUAAGCGCAAGGUUUAAUCUUGAGGCUCAACCUCAUUCUGCCUUGCGAACUGGGCUACUUGAGUGCAGGAGGGGAAAGCGGAAUUCCCAGUGUAGCGGUGAAAUGCGUAGAUAUUGGGAAGAACACCGGUGGCGAAGGCGGCUUUCUGGACUGUAACUGACACUGAGGCACGAAAGCGUGGGGAGCAAACAGGAUUAGAUACCCUGGUAGUCCACGCCGUAAACGAUGAGCACUAGUUGUUGGGUACGAAUGUAUUCAGUGACGCAGUUAACGCAAUAAGUGCUCCGCCUGGGGAGUACGGUGGCAACACUAAAACUCAAAGGAAUUGACGGGGACCCGCACAAGCAGCGGAGCAUGUGGUUUAAUUCGAAGCAACGCGAAAAACCUUACCAGGGCUUGACAUCCCUCUGACCGGAUCCUAACCGAUCCUUUCUUCGGACAGAGGUGACAGGUGGUGCAUGGUUGUCGUCAGCUCGUGUCGUGAGAUGUUGGGUUAAGUCCCGCAACGAGCGCAACCCUUGUCGUCAGUUACUAACAUUAAGUUGAGGACUCUGACGAGACUGCCGAGGUCAACUCGGAGGAAGGUGGGGAUGACGUCAAAUCAUCAUGCCCCUUAUGUUCUGGGCUACACACGUGCUACAAUGGUCGGUACAAUGAGAGGCAAUACAGUGAUGUGGAGCAAAUCACCAAAACCGAUCCCAGUUCGGAUUGCAGGCUGCAACUCGCCUGCAUGAAGUCGGAGUUGCUA